ACAAAUACUAGCCCUUCCCCUACAAAAUGCAAAUAACAAUACCAAAUAAAACAAAACAUUACAUAAGCAAGAGUAUAGGAGAU
rnacentral:rRNA from 1 species